AGUUUGAUCCUGGCUCAGGAUGAACGCUAGCUACAGGCUUAACACAUGCAAGUCGAGGGGCAGCAUUGGAGUAGCAAUACUUCAGAUGGCGACCGGCGCACGGGUGAGUAACACGUAUCCAACCUGCCGCUUACUCGGGGAUAGCCUUUCGAAAGAAAGAUUAAUACCCGAUGGUAUAAAGAGUUCGCAUGUUCUCUUUAUUAAAGAAUUUCGGUAAGCGAUGGGGAUGCGUUCCAUUAGAUAGUUGGCGGGGUAACGGCCCACCAAGUCUACGAUGGAUAGGGGUUCUGAGAGGAAGGUCCCCCACAUUGGAACUGAGACACGGUCCAAAUCCUACGGGAGGCAGCAGUGAGGAAUAUUGGUCAAUGGACGCGAGUCUGAACCAGCCAAGUAGCGUGAAGGAUGACUGCCCUAUGGGUUGUAAACUUCUUUUAUAAGGGAAUAAAGUGAGGGACGUGUCCCUUUUUGUAUGUACCUUAUGAAUAAGGAUCGGCUAACUCCGUGCCAGCAGCCGCGGUAAUACGGAGGAUCCAAGCGUUAUCCGGAUUUAUUGGGUUUAAAGGGAGCGUAGGUUGACAUAUAAGUCAGCUGUGAAAGUUUACGGCUCAACCGUGAAAUUGCAGUUGAUACUGUAUGUCUUGAGUGUACAAGAGGUGGGCGGAAUUCGUGGUGUAGCGGUGAAAUGCUUAGAUAUCACGAAGAACUCCAAUUGCGAAGGCAGCUCACUGGGGUACAACUGACACUGAGGCUCGAAAGUGUGGGUAUCAAACAGGAUUAGAUACCCUGGUAGUCCACACAGUAAACGAUGAAUACUCGCUGUUUGCGAUGUACAGUAAGCGGCCAAGCGAAAGCAUUAAGUAUUCCACCUGGGGAGUACGCCGGCAACGGUGAAACUCAAAGGAAUUGACGGGGGCCCGCACAAGCGGAGGAACAUGUGGUUUAAUUCGAUGAUACGCGAGGAACCUUACCCGGGCUUGAAUUGCAGAGGAACAUAGUUGAAAGAUUAUGGCCGCAAGGUCUCUGUGAAGGUGCUGCAUGGUUGUCGUCAGCUCGUGCCGUGAGGUGUCGGCUUAAGUGCCAUAACGAGCGCAACCCUUAUCAUUAGUUACUAACAGGUCAUGCUGAGGACUCUAGUGAGACUGCCGUCGUAAGAUGUGAGGAAGGUGGA
rnacentral:rRNA from 1 species